UAUCGUUACAAGUUCCCGAAAGGAUUUGCUGAGAAGAUGAGUUGUCUAUACUCAGAUUUUUAGACAAAGAUGCCUUGUAACCGAAUAUUGAUUAGGGGGAAUACAUUAUUAUG
rnacentral:sRNA from 2 species